UAACCUGUGGUAAUUCUAGAGCUAAUACACGCAAUAAGCUCUGACCUUCGGGGAAGAGUGCAUUUAUUAGAACAAAACCAAUCGGGCUUCGGUCUGUUGAUUGGUGAAUCUGAAUAACUCAGCUGAUCGCACGGUCUUGUACCGGCGACGCAUCUUUCAAGUGUCUGCCUUAUCAACUGUUGAUGGUAGUUUAUGUGACUACCAUGGUUGUAACGGGUAACGGAGAAUAAGGGUUCGACUCCGGAGAGGGAGCCUGAGAAACGGCUACCACAUCCAAGGAAGGCAGCAGGCGCGUAAAUUACCCACUCUCGGCACGAGGAGGUAGUGACGAAAAAUAACGAGACGGUUCUCAUUGAGGCCCGUUAUCGGAAUGAGUACAAUCUAAACCUUUUAACGAGGAUCUAUCAGAGGGCAAGUCUGGUGCCAGCAGCCGCGGUAAUUCCAGCUCUGAAGGUGUAUACCACCGUUGUUGCGGUUAAAACGCUCGUAGUUGGAUCUAUGUUCGUGGGGUUGGUGCUCUCUUUGAGAGUUACUGACUACCUGAACUGAAAUCGCUGGUUUUCCCUUGGUGCCCUUUAUUGGGUGCCUUGGGUGGCUAGCAAGUUUACUUUGAAAAAAUUAGAGUGCUCAAAACAGGCGCAUGCCUGAAUAGUGGUGCAUGGAAUAAUGGAAUAGGAUCUU
rnacentral:rRNA from 1 species